GGCCAAGAACCUAAAAUAUCGGUUUCCAUGUGCUGGAUGGUGUGCGUCCUUUAUGAAACACCGCACAGCUCCACACAGCCUCUGUUUCCAAUGUGGCCACAGAGGGAGCCGUCUGACUCACUGGCCUCUGUGAGACAAAGGAAAUCUCAAUCAGGAGAGGCCCCGCUGCACACGCCAGCCCACAGAACAUCCCGUCACAUGGGCUGACUUAUAAAUGUCUGCAUUCGAACAAUUAAGUGCCAUCUUUUCCGGUGCCUGGCAGUGCGCAAUAAAAUGAGGAAGAAAAAAAGACA